rnacentral:rRNA from 1 species
UACGUAGGGAGCAAGCGUUGUCCGGAAUCAUUGGGCGUAAAGCGCGCGUAGGCGGCCCCGUAAGUCCGCUGUGAAAGUCAAAGGCUCAACCUUUGAAAGCCGGUGGAUACUGUGGGGCUAGAGUACGGAAGAGGCGAGUGGAAUUCCUGGUGUAGCGGUGGAACGCGCAGAUAUCAGGAGGAACACCAAUAGCGAAGGCAGCUCGCUGGGACGUUACUGACGCUGAGGCGCGAAAGCGUGGGGAGCGAACAGG